rnacentral:rRNA from 1 species
AGUGAACGCUGGCGGUAGGCCUAACACAUGCAAGUCGAACGGCAGCACAGUAAGAGCUUGCUCUUACGGGUGGCGAGUGGCGGACGGGUGAGGAAUACAUCGGAAUCUACUUUUUCGUGGGGGAUAACGUAGGGAAACUUACGCUAAUACCGCAUACGACCUACGGGUGAAAGCAGGGGAUCUUCGGACCUUGCGCGAUUGAAUGAGCCGAUGUCGGAUUAGCUAGUUGGCGGGGUAAAGGCCCACCAAGGCGACGAUCCGUAGCUGGUCUGAGAGGAUGGUCAGCCACACUGGAACUGAGACACGGUCCAGACUCCUACGGGAGGCAGCAGUGGGGAAUAUUGGACAAUGGGCGCAAGCCUGAUCCAGCCAUACCGCGUGGGUGCAGAAGGCCUUCGGGUUGUAAAGCCCUUUUGUUGGUAAAGAAAAGCAGCAGGUUAAUACCCCGCUGUUCUGACGGUACCCAAAGAAUAAGCACCGGCUAACUUCGUG